AAGCCAACCUCAAGAUGAGAUUUCCCAUAGCGUAAGCUAGUAAGAUCCCUUGAAGAACACAAGGUUGAUAGGUCGGGGGUGUAAGCAUGGUAACAUGUUCAGCUGACCGAUACUAAUAGAUCGAGGGCUUGACCAAAUAU
rnacentral:rRNA from 1 species